CCACUCCUUAUCUUCUUGAUAUCUUCUUCCUGUGCAGAGAAAAACUUUAUCAUUAAACAAAACCUCCAAAACUAUAAUCCUCGUACACUCCUUUCUCAGCAGACGACCGAGACCUCACGAAGCUUUAGCAAUAUUCGAACGAGCCACCCGAUCAUCGCUCCUACAGUGGCGAUUCCCCCUCGACUGGCGUCCUAACAGCCGGUGAACGUCAACCUAGGGUCCUAAGGACCUAAACAACCACCCGUUUCUCACUAACUCCUCAUCGCUCAACCAAACAAGGAAAACCGAGGGGGAUGAAGAACACCACGACCACCACGAAACGGUGGCCAACUUCAACCCCCACGCCCUCAAAGCUGACCAAGGAAGCUCAAACGGCCUACUAAUCACGUCGGAACGCUCUUCCCCUUCCUCCUAUGGUUCGACCGAGACCCUAAAGGGAAAAAAAAGAAUUGAAAAUGAAAGUGAAAAGGGAGCAACACGUGGUUUGGGUUGUUAUUAAAGUGAGAACAGGUAAAUUACAAAGCACGUGGUUUUGGAAAUGGAGAUGGCCAAAUCACAAUUUGAGUCCUAUAUUUUUGGCCAAUUAUGUUGGGAAUCGAGUUCGUAUAUGUGAUGCUGAGGAUACGUGAGAGAAAAAUUAGAAGCUCGACCAAAUACCUCUCGAUCCAUCCGUACGUGUAAGCCCUUUUCAAUGUCUUAUAUUCAGAUUCAAUAUGGUUUUAAAUUCAAGUCUAGUUUCUGAUGUAAAUUCGGUUGUUUUGCAUCCGAGGAAUUAUUGGAAGUUGAGUUCAAGUUCGAGGGCGAUCGAAUGAAAUUUAAAUGGUUGAUCAGUAUA